rnacentral:rRNA from 1 species
CCUACGGGAGGCUGCAGUCGAGAAUCAUUCACAAUGGGGGAAACCCUGAUGGUGCGACGCCGCGUGGGGGAAUGAAGGUCUUCGGAUUGUAAACCCCUGUCAUGUGGGAGCAAAUUAAAAAGAUAGUACCACAAGAGGAAGAGACGGCUAACUCUGUGCCAGCAGCCGCGGUAAUACAGAGGUCUCAAGCGUUGUUCGGAAUCACUGGGCGUAAAGCGUGCGUAGGCUGUUUCGUAAGUCGUGUGUGAAAGGCGCGGGCUCAACCCGCGGACGGCAGAUGAUACUGCGAGACUAGAGUAGUGGAGGGGGAACCGGAAUUCUCGGUGUAGCAGUGAAAUGCGUAGAUAUCGAGAGGAACACUCGUGGCGAAGGCGGGUUCCUGGACAUUAACUGACGCUGAGGCACGAAGGCCAGGGGAGCGAAAGGGAUUAGAUACCCGGGUAGUC